UACAAGAAUGAAUUGGAGUGGCAUGAAGCAUGAGAUAAGCAGACCACUUACAAGACUGUUGCAGUUGUAAAGCAUAGGAUGACAGGACUGGAUUAAGGUUCUUGAGGAUACAAUCAACCAAGGUACACUUUAAAUUAAAGCAGAUAUAUGGAUAAAACAGGAAAAAUACAAGGAUAUUCAAUAUCAACAUUUCCAUUAAGAAUUGUACUGGGGCAUCUGGCCAACAGAAUUCAGAGCCCCAGCCUGUUCAUAAAAAAAAUCAGAUGAAUUUUGUCUGCGGAACAUUCUGCAAAAAUAUCUGACCAGUAAGUAAUCCUCUAAAUAGCCACAGCCAUCAACAGCAAGGAAAGUCUGAGAAAGUGUCACAGCCAAGAGGACCCUAUAAAGACAUGAUGACUAAAUGUAACAUGGUGUCUUCCAUGGGAUCCUGAAACAGAAAAAGGACAUUAGUCCUAGCUACUCCGGAGGCUGAGGCAGGAGGAUCACCUGAGCCCAGGACUUUGAGGCCGCUGUAAGCUAUGAUCAUGCCACUGCACUCCAGCUCAGGCAACAGUGAGACCCGGUCUCAACAAACAAAAGAAAAUAAAAGAAUGGUAGACAAGGAAAGCAGUUGAACAGCUAUGCGAGAAGCCUACUUUCUCUUCAUGUAACACGUUGGCCUAAGAGAUCUAUAGAGCUUUUUAAAAACAAAGAAGGCAGCAAGAUUUAAAAUAAUAAAACCAGCAAUAGGUAUUUUUAAAAGUGAGAGAAACUAUCAGAGAGCUGUAGCAGAAAAGCAAGUUAAAAAUAAAGGAAACAGAAAAGGAACUGAUACAGCUGAUUUGAUACUGGAAAAAUCACCCAGGAGGCAG
ensembl:lncRNA novel transcript, antisense to CD36